rfam:Biomphalaria glabrata isolate BB02 unplaced genomic scaffold LGTN_random_Scaffold4106, whole genome shotgun sequence.
AUGGCUGAGCGGUAAAGGGCUUGGCUUCCGAACCAGGGGUUCCAGGUUCGAAUCCUGGU